rnacentral:rRNA from 1 species
GAUGACUUUUGUGCUUGCACAAAAUGAUUAGUGGCGAACGGGUGAGUAACACGUGAGUAACCUGCCCUUAACUUCGGGAUAAGCCUGGGAAACCGGGUCUAAUACCGGAUACGACGGACUGCCGCAUGGUGGUCCGUGGAAAGCUUUAUGCGGUUUUGGAUGGACUCGCGGCCUAUCAGCUAGUUGGUUGGGGUAACGGCCCACCAAGGCGACGACGGGUAGCCGGCCUGAGAGGGUGACCGGCCACACUGGGACUGAGACACGGCCCAGACUCCUACGGGAGGCAGCAGUGGGGAAUAUUGCACAAUGGGCGAAAGCCUGAUGCAGCGACGCCGCGUGAGGGACGAAGGCCUUCGGGUUGUAAACCUCUUUCAGCAGGGAAGAAGCGAAAGUGACGGUACCUGCAGAAGAAGCGCCGGCUAACUACGUGCCAGCAGCCGCGGUAAUACGUAGGGCGCAAGCGUUAUCCGGAAUUAUUGGGCGUAAAGAGCUCGUAGGCGGUUUGUCGCGUCUGCUGUGAAAGCCCGGGGCUCAACCCCGGGUCUGCAGUGGGUACGGGCAGACUAGAGUGCAGUAGGGGAGACUGGAAUUCCUGGUGUAGCGGUGAAAUGCGCAGAUAUCAGGAGGAACACCGAUGGCGAAGGCAGGUCUCUGGGCUGUAACUGACGCUGAGGAGCGAAAGCAUGGGGAGCGAACAGGAUUAGAUACCCUGGUAGUCCAUGCCGUAAACGUUGGGCACUACGUGUGGGGGACAUUCCACGUU